rnacentral:lncRNA from 1 species
UAUAAACAUAAACAAAUUAUAGUAAAGUAGAAUCAAGAGAGGAGGAAGUAAACAGGAGUAAAAGUAGGGACGAGGACAAACAGAAAACGCGUUGAACGAAGAAGUUGGAGGUUUCCACGAGCAGGAGAGUGUUUAGUGAUUGUGGCUAACGAAGGACAGUUUUAGUGCACAACAGUUAGAACGGGGCAUGCAGACGUGUUCACGAGUUGGUUAGACGAUCACAAUAAAUCCAGUACGGACUUCGAAACGGGUCGGCCAGGACGAGACAGUUCGGACAGGACGGAUUGAACAGUACAGUACAGUGGAGAACAGAACCGCGCGACAGGCAACAUAAACUAA